UACGAGAGGCGCAAACGUUAUUCGGAAUUACUGGGCUUAAAGAGUUCGUAGGCGGCGCAGAAAGUAGGGUGUGAAAGCCUCGGCUUAACCGAGGAAUUGCGCUCUAAACUACUGUGCUUGAGGGACCUAGAGGUGAGCGGAACUGAAUGGUGGAGCGGUGAAAUGCGUUGAUAUCAGUCAGGAACACCGGAGGCGAAGGGCGGCU
rnacentral:rRNA from 1 species